CUAGGCAACCCCUUGUUUCCAAACAUCUUUACAGUGGUUCUUUCUCUUUGGCAUCCCCUUGAAGUCUGUGUAUGAGUGUGUGUGUGCGUGCGCACAUAGACGAGUUGCUACAUCUGUAUAAAGACUGCGAUUUGCACUUCUUUAUUCCAAAUAUUUGCUCUUCCUGUAUCUGAUAAUAAUGAUUAUAUUCUCCCAGUUCCCUCAGAUUGAAAUCGGGUGUGUGUGACCGAGUGUGUAACUUGAACAUGUGCGAGUGUGUGUCCAAGUUAGUCUCAGUAAUUGGGCCGGCUCUGCUCUCCCGGGGAGCUCCCGAAGGUAGAAAAACUCAACGUUCCAUUACAUCCUCCUCUUCGCUCCUUUCAUUCAAUUCGUCACACACCUCCUCUUCACCCUGCAAGUGUUUGCACCUGCGUGUAUGUAGUGUUUGUGUACGUGUGCCUGGUUGUUGAGUGUGUGUAUGGUUAUGAGUUUGCUGAGAGUGGUAUGUCCUUGUUUGUGCAUGUUUUUGGGGGGUGGGGGUGUCUCAUAAUGAAGCCAUAUGGCCUGUCUGUUAGCAUGCGAGCUGCCAGCACUCAGAGCUGAGAUGCUGGCAAAAAGCGCUAAGAUCAGACGUGAGUGGCAUACUCCUGUCUUCUUCUCUUUACCAUCCCUGCUCUUCUUCUUUACCCUCCCCUCCCUUCUUCUUCUCCUCUCUGUGCUCCUCCUCUUUCCUUCUGUUGUUUGCUACCCAUCUUUCUGUCCCUAUCUCGUCUCGCGCCUACUCUCAUCAUUCUUCUCAUCACCUCAUAUGUACUUUCUUCAUUUGUGCAUAUCCCCAGUUUUUUCCCCCCCUCUAUUUCCAUUUACUCACAUCUUCCCUUAUCUUUUUUGUGCUAACACCCACUACUUAGUCCUCCUCUCCCCUCCUUUGUUCUUCACAUUAGACCCUGUUGUUUUCGCGUCUCCCUCUCUUCCAAUCAGAUUAACUGGUGUGAAACGAUCCAUUUCCACAUUUUCCUCUGAAGCCUGGAGAGGAGACUGUGGUCUGACCUAAAUUUACAUGUAAGGGAGGGAAUCUAGAUGACAGCACAUGAAGGAGGGAGAGAGAGAAAGACCAAGAGAUGAGGAGUGGGUGUCUCUGUCCGUCAGGGACUUUCUCUGGACAGGAGCAGAGGAGGUAGACUGCUUUCGCAUGCAUGGGUGUGAGAGGAAGAUUCAACACCCCCUUCACUUGCUGAGACACACAUGGAUGGCUUAGUUUGUGUGAAAAACCCUCACGCAAUGGAACGAGACAGUCUGUCCCAGAGUCAGAGGAGAGAGUGGGCCUUCCUCUCUGUACGUAUGUUGACUAUUUGUUAGCAUAACGCUGCUUCUGUAUGUAUGCAUGUGUGCGCCUGUGUGUUUCCUUUUCAGCUUCCUGGCACGAGCGAGGCCCGUGUUUGCCAGUGUUCCUGUAUGUGGGAUGACUGCAGCUUGCGUGAUCAGAACAAAGCAAGAGAGCAUGACAGAAAAUCCCUCAAUACCCGGCCUUUAAAAAAUGCAGGAGGCCAACGCACGCAGAAGCAAGUAAGCUGCUAUCAUCCAUUGUAUUCAAACACGGCCAACUUUUUGCUCUCCUGGUGGUGGGUGGGUGUACCAACUGUGGAUCUGCCAUCAGCUGCAGUGCUUAGCCAGUCCCAAACUAUACAUUUUGUUUUUUCAUCAUCUCUCUUCUACAUAUCUGACUGUGUGUCUGUUGGUAUAUUGUACAUUUAAUGCCAGUGAUAGCUGCCAGAAUCCACAGAAACUUUUGUUUUUGGUGCCAGAUCUGAAGAUGUGCCCCCAUGCAGGGCUGUAUGCAUCUGGUGGUAUCAUAAAAGUUUGCUACAGUGAGGGUCGGAAGAAGAUUCAGUGACUCUUGGUGUGGCAUCAUUAAGGAUACUUUGGAUGUUUAUAAUUAAAAUAAUGACAAACUCCCGCUCGUUUUCUUGUGCUAUAGAAAAAUCAAUAUCUGGUACACGCUUCAAAGCACUCGAGGUUGGGGAUUUGCAAGGGAUGAAAACUGGCAAACAAACACGGCAUUUAAACUGGGUUGUGAAGAUUAAUCAUGUGUUCAGUAUGUAUUGCACUGAAGACAAAAACUCUAUUCAUGAGUUACUGAAGAGACGGAAAUUUGGGAGUACUUAUUUCAUAGUGGCCCAACUGGAAGAAGUGUUAUUGCUGUAAAUUAGGACAAUGUAGUCGAAUAAAUGUGCAAAUAAAAGCUGUUUAAUUGUU